CCUACGGGUGGCAGCAGUGGGGAAUAUUGCGCAAUGGGCGAAAGCCUGACGCAGCGACGCCGCGUGAGGGAUGAAGGUCUUCGGAUCGGAAACCUCUGUCAGUAGGGAAGUAAGGCCACUGUGCUAAUGAGCAGUGAAUUGACGGUAUCUGCAAAGGAAGCACCGGCUCACUCCGUGCCAGCAGCCGCGGUAAUACGGCGGGUGCGAGCGUUAAUCGGACUUACUGGGCGUAAAGCGCUCGUAGGCGGUAUGUCAAGUGAAGGGUGAAAUCCCCGCGCUCAACGUGGGAACUGCCUUUGGAACUGGCGAGCUGGAGUGUGUGGGAGGAUGGUGGAAUUCGAGGUGUAGGAGUGAAAUCCGUAGAUAUCUGGAGGAACAUCAGUGGCGAAGGCGACUAUCUGGCACAUAACUGACGCUGAGGAGCGAAAGCGUGGGUAGCGAACAGGAUUAGAUACCCGGGUAGUC
rnacentral:rRNA from 1 species